GACAGAGGGUGCAAACGUUGCUCGGAAUUACUGGGCGUAAAGGGCGCGUAGGCGGGAUGGCAAGUCGGUCGUGAAAUCCCUCGGCUCAACUGAGGAUCGUCGAUCGAUACUGCCGUUCUUGAGGAUUGCAGAGGAGACUGGAAUUCCCGGUGUAGCGGUGAAAUGUGUAGAGAUCGGGAGGAACACCGGUGGCGAAGGCGGGUCUCUGGGCAAUUCCUGACGCUGAGGCGCGAAAGCGUGGGGAGCGAACAGG
rnacentral:rRNA from 1 species